rnacentral:rRNA from 1 species
GACGAACGCUGGCGGCGUGCUUAACACAUGCAAGUCGAGCGGUAAGGCCCUUUUGGGGGUACACGAGCGGCGAACGGGUGAGUAACACGUGGGUGACCUGCCCUCGGCUCUGGGAUAAGCCUGGGAAACUGGGUCUAAUACUGGAUAUGACCUUUCCUCGCAUGGGGUUGGGUGGAAAGUUUUUCGGCUGGGGAUGGGCCCGCGGCCUAUCAGCUUGUUGGUGGGGUGAUGGCCUACCAAGGCGACGACGGGUAGCCGGCCUGAGAGGGCGACCGGCCACACUGGGACUGAGACACGGCCCAGACUCCUACGGGAGGCAGCAGUGGGGAAGUAUUGCGCAAUGGGCGGAAGCCUGACGCAGCGACGCCGCGUGGGGGAUGACGGCCUUCGGUUG